UACAGAGGGUGCGAGCGUUGUCCGGAAUCACUGGGCGUAAAGGGCGCGUAGGCGGCCACCGCAAGUCAGUUGUGAAAGCUCUGGGCUUAACCCAGAAAGGUCAGCUGAUACUGCGGGGCUAGAGUGCAGAAGGGGCAACUGGAAUUCUCGGUGUAGCGGUGAAAUGCGUAGAUAUCUGGAGGAACACCGGUGGCGAAGGCGGCAUCCUGGACCGGCAUUGACGCUGAGGCGCGAAAGCCAGGGGAGCAAACGGG
rnacentral:rRNA from 1 species